GAAAGCCCGCCCACACGCCCUCGCUACUACCGAUGAUGGUUUAGUGAGGUCCUCGAUCGGCCCCGGCGGGGUCGGCCACGGCCCUGCCGGAGCCGUCCGAGAAGACGCGUCGAACUUGACUAUCUAGAGGAAGUAAAAGUCGUAACAAGGUUUCCGUAGGUGAACCUGCGGAAGGAUCAUUA
rnacentral:ncRNA from 1 species